rnacentral:misc_RNA from 1 species
UCUCCCGUGAGGGAGCAGUCUCGCCUGGCCAUAUAGGCAACAGGCAACGGGGGUUGCGUUCGUUACCCCACUGAAGGGAACAGUUCAAACCACGAACUGACGACGACCAUGCAUCACCUGUUCAGCACCCUCGAAGGCUCCUCGCCUUUCGGCAAGAAUGCAGCUGAAUGUCUAAUCUUGGUAAGGUUCUUCGUUUGCUUACGAAUUGAGCCACAUAAUCCACUGCUUGUGCGAGUCCCCGUCUAUUCCUUUGAGUUUUAAUCUUGCGAUCGUACUACCCAGGCGGCUCGCUUACCGCGUUAGCUUAGUCUCACAGAGGGUCGAUACUCCGUAAAACGAGCGAGCAACGUUGAGGGCCAGGACUAC